rnacentral:lncRNA from 1 species
AAUAAAUAAAAUUUUAUGUGGCUAAAAAUAAAAUUUUAUUUUUCGCAUAAAUAAUUGCACCGUAUUGUAUUAUUUAUGUCAGUUUGCCGAAGAAAUCGUUCAAGUAGUUUUUAUGGAAAUAUUUUAAAUAGUUUUUAUAUAUUUAUUCUUAAUAGUUUAACUUAUAAGAGAUGGCUACAUUGUCACGAUAUAUUGUUGUUAUUUUUUUUCUUUUAUCAUUUAAAUGAAAGUAAUUAUAAAUAGUAGAAAGUUUUCAUGCAACGCACUUUAGGCGUUCCUCAGUAUCAUGAAGUCGGUUACCACCCGUGGGUUAUUAGUUCCAUGUUUUAACGGAAGAGGCGCUAGCAUCGGACGUAACUUCUCUCGUACUUUAGUAGCAGACGACGAUUGAGUUAAGAUGGUAGAAGAACGCUUAGUGUGUUGCGUUCCAUAUAAUGAAGUGGAUAUAAUUUGAAUACAUGUCUCUCCAUUCUUGGGAUGUGUCAAAAAGUGUCAUUAAUCCUAACGCCUUUCGGGUGAAAUGUUCGGUUUGGAGAAGGAAGCAGUGGUGUAUCAGGAGGCCGUGUGUGUUACGACCAGGGCGGAAAUAUGGUCGCACCCACCACGGGCCUAUCUUCAACCCUUUACGCCUUACGGAAAAUAUUAUUACCUUAGAGUUACGACUUGCAAUAGCUACAGCUCGGGCCAGCCGCCUGAUCACCUGUCUUGCCCCCAUUGGCCCCCCAUCAAGCAACUC